AAAAAAAAACCCACAAAUAUGCAUUUGUGUGUGGAUGUGAAGGGAUUUAACAAUUUCAUAUAUUACAUAGUUGGCAGAAGUACAAAAGGUAGCAUAGAGAUAAAGCUAAACCACCUCUUACUAAAAGAACACUAAGCCACUUGUACACAACCCCUGCUUAAAAUCUUCACAAGCAAGGGAAAAGGGAACAAAAAGGGAAAAAGAAAAGGAAAGUACACACCACUUCCCCUAUCAUCAUCCAAACUAAACAAUUUGAUGAGCUUGCUAAACUCGCUGCUCAUGCAGGCACAGUACUUUGCAGGUGCAACAUUGUGCAUUAAAAAUGACAAUGUACAAAAUAUUUUGAGGCGCUCCCCACAGUCACUGCUCAUGCAGAGAACAGAAUGCUUUGCAGAUGCAACAUUGUGCAUUAAAAAUGACAAAGCUACACCUAGCAGAGCUCUUCUGAUCUUGCCUCAAGUUGAUUCUGUUCCGCAAUACAAUAACAAGCAUGCCUGAAAAAAGCAAGAAAUGAAAGCCAGCAAAUAAUAUAACACUUAAACAAGCAUGCCCAAACUGCUGGCUUUCUCUCUUAUUGGCAGCUAUGUGGACAGAAAAAGCUUCCAAUUCAUCUGAUUUCUGCUAUCUCACGCUAUUGAUGUUAAGCUUAACCUGCUACUUAGAACUGGUUUCUGCACAGCUUCCUCCUCAACUCCACCCACAGUUUUUAGCAACAUCCCAACAGCAGCAUUCGGCUCUAACUCUUCCCGCAAUCCAUCUUGAAAAACUCCACUGCCAUCUGCACACACAUUUUCCAAAUGACACAUUGAAUCUGCGUCACCAGAAUCACUUCGAGAGUAUCCCAGGUUAUUACUUCCUUCAACACUCCCAUCAGCGCUUCCAUUGUUCCCCUCAUUGCUGCCUGCUAUUGAUUCAUUUCCAUUAUCCUCACUUGAGCCAACCUCGCUUGAAAGGGAGGUGAUUACACUGGAAUUUGAUGUAAACCCCCCCUCAACAUCAUCAGAGCAAAAUCUCUUUUCAUCAAUUUGACACAUUUCAUUCCCUUCAGCAAAUGCCAAGCAUGUAGGAGAUGUGCCACCAAACUUGUGACUGAUAAUAUCAGGAGAAAAAGAAUCCCGCCUCAGAGGACUAAUUGAACAUCGUUUCUCUAGCAUAUCAUUUUUCACAUCCACUUCAUCAGGAUCCUUUUUCCUCUUAACGCCUCUCUCUCCAGAGCCAGUGCGACAAGCACCACCAUCUUCAUAGCAUAAUUUAUCAGACUGUUGCUGUGCUGUGACCCUAGGAUGUCGAGGACGUCUAUAACCAUCUGGAAAAACAUAAGAAGGGAUCUGCUUCCUACGAACAUGAGAGACAUAAAUUUCCAUUCCAGGUUUCCAAAACAUAUACAUGUUUAUGGAAUGCCUAAAUUCAU
rnacentral:misc_RNA from 1 species